rnacentral:rRNA from 1 species
CGGCCGGGCAAGUCCGUCGGGAAAUCCAUCAGCUCAACUGAUGGGCGUCCGGCGGAUACUGUCCGGCUUGGGACCGGGAGAUCCGAGGGGUACGUCCGGGGUAGGAGUGAAAUCCCGUAAUCCUGGACGGACCGCCGGUGGCGAAAGCGCCUCGGAAGAACGGAUCCGACGGUGAGGGACGAGAGCUAGGGUCUCGAACCGGAUUAGAUACCCGGGUAGUCCUAGCCGUAAACGAUGCCCGCUAGGUGUGGCGCAGGCUACGAGCCUGCGCUGUGCCGUAGGGAAGCCGUGAAGCGAGCCGCCUGGGAA